rnacentral:lncRNA from 1 species
CCCCGUGCAGAAAGCAGGAAGACCCUCACACAGUCUCUCUCUCUCACAGCUGGCAUGAGGCAAGCAGUGAAGGAUCUGAUAACACACACCCCAACUAGAGCCAUCAGGGCAUGCGUGCAAGAUGUGAAAGAGCAGGCGACACCGGAUUCUACUUUGCUAAGGGCAGCCAAGAGACAGUGUCUGGCAUGCUUCAGCUAUUGGAACUGGCCAUGUGGUCUCCAGGCUAGAUCCUCUGGCUUCCCUAGAGAAGCUGCCAACUUCCUAACAUCCUCUAAUGCAUUUAUUUUCUCUUUAAUUGGAGUGGAUUCUUGGUUAUGCCCAACUGGGAUAAACCUCUGACUCAGAUGACUAACGAGGACCUGGCCAAGUUCAAAGCCACAGAUGACUCCUUCUACCUUCUCCCUCCAGCUACCAUCUUGAUCCUGAAAAGUUGCCCUCUUUACAAGCCAUUUCUCACAACCAGGGUAAGAAAGAAAACGGCCAUGAACUCAGCAGCUGGUUUGCAUACCACUUAUGCACAGAGACUUUGGCAAGCAGUGUAGCCUCUCUGGUUGGGUUUCCUCAUCUUUUUCAAAUGGAGAUAUUAUAGCCAACUUCUCCAUACAGUUGUUGUAAGGAUUAAAUAAAAUACCAAUUAAGAGCACUCAGAUAAAUGUUAAGGAUGAACUCUCCCAGCAAGUUUAAAUAAACAAACAAAAAAAUAAUACUAAGAAGAAAUCUCAUGUAGGGAGUUAGAAAAUUCAUUAUUAAAUGGGAUAAAAAUCAUAAUCCCUUGAACAACUAUAUCAGGGAUUUUUGUUUUCUGGCCAUAGACUUGUUUAGAAUCCAUCAACAGAAAUUGAAGAAUUUAUUCAACCCUGGAUGAAAUCUAAAAGUCAACUACCUGAAGAUACUAGAAAAUUUACAAAAGCAGUUAGAUGCUGACAUUUGGAAAAGGGGACAUCGUAGAGUCUCUUUCUUUUUAGAUAGCAUUUUGCCUGCAGAUAGGUCCCAGUCUGCACCAGGAAAACCUGCAAUAUUAUUAGCUUGAUGAACCAGAGGAUACUGAUCUGGAUAACCAUCAUCACUAAAAAGUGAAGGGAGAGACCCAGGAGAGGAGAUAAAGAAUUCAAGUGUAAACUAUGUAUGUCUCUGGGUCGAUCCAUAAACUUCACAUGUAUGAGGCAGACACCAAGCAAUCAGACAUGGCUAGAAUAACUGAACUUCAAUUUGAGCUACCACCCAUCAUAGGUUGGGGGGGUUGCGGAAUUUACAGGUUGAGUUCAAUCAAGUUAAUUCUAAGUUAAAACCAAAUCAAUAUUCUUCAGAGGAACAUAAUGGAAUCCAGUGCCUCUGCAAUGUCUUAUUCAGAGUGUCCAAGAUACAAAAUUCCCCAAAGUACUGAAAACCAACAAGAUGUGACUUAUUCUAAGGGACAGGACAGUUGAUAGAGACUAACUUCAAGAUGAUUCGGACCCUGGAUUAGCUGAGAUUUUAAAGUGGCAAUUAUAACUAAGCUCAGGAACAGAAGGGACUAUAUUUGCCAUAAAUAAAAUUAUAACUAUUCAAAAGAGCCCAAAUGGAAAUUUUGUGAAAGAAAAUUUCAAUAUCAGAAAUAAAAAUGUACUAGAUAGUCUUAAGAACAGAAGAGAGAUGAUGAAAGAAUGAGUCAAUGAAAUUAUGAAAUCUCAAUAGGAAUUAUCUAUUUAGAAGCAUAUAUGUAUUUCUUUAAAAGACUGAAAAAAUUAGUUGUUCUUCACGGUCCAAUGGGACAAUACUAGGUCUAAAAUCCAUGUCAUUAGAGCCCGAGAAGGAGAGGAGACAGGAAAAAUGGGAAAGAACAUGUUUGUAAAAAUAAUGGCUAAACUUG